UCUCGUACUCUCCUCUGUUCUGUCCACUUAUUGAACUUUUCAAUGCACUUGGGACACUCCAAUUCCACAGGAUCGUAGUAAUCCAGGACGGGGGCCGACCUGGUGCCGGCGGCGGUCGCCCGCGAUGCAGGAGCGCCGCUCGAUGUGGUGACGGCGGCGUUUCUGGUUGGUGGAGGUUCUGUUACAAAACUCUUAGCAUCCUUUUUGUUGGGUUGGGCUGAAUACUACGUUUUCUUCAUUAUUUCUGUUUUGCUAGGCUGCGGGGCCUAAUCUAUGUUGGUUAAUCCUGAUCGUUGCCUCAAAUCAUACCUCUCCCUCCAUAAAAGUGGUAAAAGGUACCGUAAAACAAGCCCUUUUGUGAUACCCUCAAAUGAAUGACAGCCUUUCAUUUUGGUCCAUCCAAUGGCUCAAAAAGUUUCAUACCACUGUCCAAAAGUUGAGUGGUAUGUUACAUACCGGUGCCAAUUUCCGCACCUCAGAAAAAAGUACCCUACACAGGCCCGUCCUAAUAGAUGACCCAGCCCAAUAGACUGGUCCAAGCCCAUCAUCUGCCUAUCGCAGAGUGGCAAGGGAAGAAUCGUAUCCUCGUUCUUCCGUGACUGCGAGAGGUGUCGCCGCCGUUCUCUUCUGGAGUAAAUGGCACUGGGAGUCACACAACUUGUCCCGCACGUGCACUUAAGUCACGAAAGUUGCAAAAUGUGCAAAUGAGUCACAUAACUUUACUUCCGUGUGCACGCUAGGUCACAAACCGGUCAGCUGUCUGGUUUCGCAAAAAUACCGCUCAGAAAAUUUGCAGAAACAACCCUUACUAUCUCUAUAUUGUGAAGAAGUCAACCCCAUAAUGACCAGCCUGUCCGUGCGGGUCCCACCUGUCAGGCCCGUAGGAAAGAAAUAAAAUUAAAAUAGGAGCAAUGUGGGGACUCGAACUUGAGACCUGACAGUCCAGGCUUGCACCCAGAACCAGGACACCACUAGUUCACUUCAGUAAAAGAUGUGGAUUACGCUUUAUUAUAAUAUAUAUUCCUGUGGAGAAUUAGUUUAUUUUAAACAAUUAAAUUUGAGUUAAAACUACAAAUAUUAAUUCGGAAAUACAUAUACAUUGUUAUUAUGUACGUGCGAAGAUGCGGUAAAAAAAUCGAUAUGAUUUGGGCUGUAGAAAAAAAUAUCGGAAAUACAUAUACAUUGAGAACGACAUUUUUUUUAGCUUGCUGAAAUUUUCGAAACAUCCACCUUUCAGUCUCAAAAUAAUAUGCUAAAAAUACUUAGCUAUAUAUAUAUGUCAAAGAUUGGACGACAAAAUUUUCUUUUGAAAAUACGUUGUGUUUUUGGAAAUAAAAAAUACAAAUUUCUGACAAAAACACUCAUAUAUAUACUUUAUGAAUUAUUAUUUUCAACAACCCAAAUCAUAAAGAUUUUUUACCGCAACUUAUCACGUACAUAAUAACAAUGUAUAUGUAUUUUCGAAAUAAAAAUUUUAUUUUUAAAUUUCAAAUUUUAAAAUAUGCUAAUUCUCCAGAGUAAUAUAUUGUAUAAUAAGUUAUAAUCCACCCAAUGUACCCAAGCGAUCAGGUGGUUUGUUGGUUCUACGGGCCCGCAUGUACCUAGCAGGUCUCAAGGUCGAAUCCCCAUCCUGCGCCCAUUUCCAUUUUAGUUAUUUCCUACACGCCUGCCAUGUGGGAUCCACCUGUACAGGCUGGUCACUCUGGAUUGACUUCAUCAGGAAAUAUAUAUAGUAAGGUUGUUUCUACAAAUUUCCAGGCGGUAUUUUUGCAAAACCAAAUAACAUACCGGUUUGUGACCUGACAUGCACACGGAAGUAAAGUUAUGUGACUCAUUUGCACAUUUCGCAACUUCUGUGACUUAAGUGCACAUACGGGACAAGUUGUGUGACCCCAGUGCCAUUUACUCUUCUCUUCUGUUCCCCAACUCCGGCGCCACCGCCGCCUCACCCCCACCAGUCGGCAUGAUGUAUGUAGACCUACACCUGUACGCCGCCCCCUUCCCCAAUACUAUCCCAGUGGCGGCGGCCUUGGCCCUUGGCCUCAGCGUGGAUCCAAGAUCGACGGCGCCGCCUAGUCGCACACCACGCGGUUCCGGGAGCAGGCCUGGCUGUCAUCGAGGCGCACUGCCCAUGCCGUCUCGAAGGUGGUGCAGAAGGUGGGAGGAGGCCGAUGAAGUGGUGCUUGGAGGUGGGAGGAAGUCCUGACAUGCUCCAUGUAAUUUCUUGCCAAUCACGUAUUGUUUUGUGGUGGGCUACAUUGCAUUUGAAAUGUACUAAAACAAUAGGAAUAAAUGGAGAGAAAGCUCUUGCCAGUCAUGAUCGAUAAGUACAUUGCAUCCUUUUUGGAAUUGUUGGGAAUUUAUGAAAAGAAUUUCAUCAGUUUGUGCUGCUGGAAGAGCGACAAGUGCUGUGCAUGAAUGUCAUUAGUGCACAAGGUACCUGAGAUUACUUUGUGUUAAUAAUUGCCUAAGAUUACUAUUGGAUAAUAGAAGAAACCAAGACAGUAGCAUGCCGAGUUGUGUUUGAGCUAUGAAUCACAUAUCCUUAUUCCUUAAUCAUAUGAGUAGACUACAAAAAGGAAUGUUUGCCUUUGAUAACCAGUAGGAAGAAAAUUAUAGUAAUCCAUGUUUGUUUGUCUCUGUUUUCUUUUAUUACUGUAUUACUUUUGAACAAAAAUGAUACUGCAUCUGUAUUGCCCAGUGUUCGGUCCUUCCUGGUACUCCUCGUCGCCCUGCGGCGUCGCAUGGUGUGUGUGCUUCGGCGCGCCGCUGCACCCCAGGGAGGAGGGGUCCCCGGGCUACGUCGAGCCCGCCACCUACGACCUGGUUUUUCAACAACACAUUCUACACUAGAGCAGGAGGAAUCAGCACAAUCGAGAUGAAUCGGCUUGAGCUGGAUUUGUUCUUUAACCUGGACUUCAUGCUGAAAGUGAACCUCGAGACGUUUGGGAGCUACUGCUCGCAGCUUGAGUUCUCCGCUGAUGAGUUUUGCGAGAGCAAGCUGGUGCGCCAGAGUUACAUACAGCAGUCAGGCUGUCCAAAGAUGUAGAUGAUCAAGUUAUUUGCAGUCUGCGGUUUUGUAGAGCAUAGGACCUGAUAUUGAUUAUUCUUUAGAUCUGACAUUUGUGCAUUCAAAUUACGUUUAAGUCGUUCUUGGGUGUUUGAUUGGUAGGGCAUCAA